rnacentral:tRNA from 1 species
AAGGCUUUAGCUUAAUUAAAGUGUCUGUUUUGCAGGCAGUAGAUGUGGGGUAGUGUCCCGCAAGUCUUAC